UAAGGAAUAUUGGACAAUGGGGGCAACCCUGAUCCAGCCAUGCCGCGUGAAGGAUGAAGGCGCUCUGCGUUGUAAACUUCUUUUGUACGGGAAUAAACCCUUCUACGUGUAGAAGGUUGAAUGUACUGUAAGAAUAAGGAUCGGCUAACUUCGUGCCAGCAGCCGCGGUAAUACGAAGGAUCCAAGCGUUAUCCGGAUUUAUUGGGUUUAAAGGGUGCGUAGGCGGGCUAUUAAGUCAGUGGUGAAAGCCCCAAGCUUAACUUGGGAAUUGCCAUUGAUACUGAUGGUCUUGAGUACACUUGAAGUGGGCGGAAUGUGUCAUGUAGCGGUGAAAUGCUUAGAUAUGACACAGAACACCGAUUGCGAAGGCAGCUCACUAAAUUGUAACUGACGCUGAGGCACGAAAGCGUGGGGAUCAAACAG
rnacentral:rRNA from 1 species